rnacentral:rRNA from 1 species
AAUCAACGCUGGCGGCGUGCCUCAGACAUGCAAGUCGAACGCGAAAGUCCCCUUCGGGGGGACAAGUAGAGUGGCGCACGGGUGAGUAACACGUAGGUAAUCUACCUUCGGAUGGGGAAGUAACAACCGGAAACGGUUGCUAAUACCGCAUAAUGCAGCGGCACCUAGUGGUGACAGUUGUUAAAGCGGGGGAGUCGAAAGACCUCGCGUCUGAAGAGGAGCCUGCGGCGGAUUAGCUAGNGGUAAGGUAAUGGCUUACCAAGGCGACGAUCCGUAGCCGGCCUGAGAGGGGCGGUCGGCCACACUGACACUGACAUACGGGUCAGACUCCUACGGGAGGCAGCAGUCGGGAAUUUUGGGCAAUGGGCGAAAGCCUGACCCAGCAACGCCGCGUGAAGGAU